rnacentral:rRNA from 1 species
UACAGAGGUCCCGAGCGUUGUUCGGAUUCACUGGGCGUAAAGGGUGCGCAGGUGGGUUGGCAAGUUCGAUGUGAAAGCCCCGGGCUUAACCCGGGAAUGGCAUUGGAAACUGCUGAUCUGGAGGAUCGGAGGGGGGACUGGAAUUCUUGGUGUAGCAGUGAAAUGCGUAGAUAUCAAGAGGAACACCAGUGGCGAAGGCGAGUCCCUGGACGAUACCUGACGCUGAGGAGCGAAAGCGUGGGGAGCGAACAGG